rnacentral:rRNA from 1 species
UAACGCGUGAGGAACCUGCCUCAAAGAGGGGGACAACAGUUGGAAACGACUGCUAAUACCGCAUAAGCCCACAGGUCGGCAUCGACCAGAGGGAAAAGGAGCAAUCCGCUUUGAGAUGGCCUCGCGUCCGAUUAGCUAGUUGGUGAGGUAAUAGCCCACCAAGGCAACGAUCGGUAGCCGGACUGAGAGGUUGAACGGCCACAUUGGGACUGAGACACGGCCCAGACUCCUACGGGAGGCAGCAGUGGGGAAUAUUGCACAAUGGGGGAAACCCUGAUGCAGCGACGCCGCGUGGAGGAAGAAGGUCUUCGGAUUGUAAACUCCUGUUGUUGAGGAAGAUAAUGACGGUACUCAACAAGGAAGUGACGGCUAACUACGUGCCAGCAGCCGCGGUAAAACGUAGGUCACAAGCGUUGUCCGGAAUUACUGGGUGUAAAGGGAGCGCAGGCGGGAAGACAAGUUGGAAGUGAAAUCUAUGGGCUCAACCCAUAAACUGCUUUCAAAACUGUUUUUCUUGAGUAGUGCAGAGGUAGGCGGAAUUCCCGGUGUAGCGGUGGAAUGCGUAGAUAUCGGGAGGAACACCAGUGGCGAAGGCGGCCUACUGGGCACCAACUGACGCUGAGGCUCGAAAGUGUGGGUAGCAAACAGGAUUAGAUACCCUGGUAGUCCACACCGUAAACGAUGAUUACUAGGUGU